rnacentral:rRNA from 1 species
UGGGAUACCACGUUGGAAACAGGUGCUAAUACCGGAUAAGAAAGCAGAUCGCAUGAUCAGCUUUUAAAAGGCGGCGGUAAGCUGUCGCUAUGGGAUGGCCCCGCGGUGCAUUAGCUAGUUGGUAAGGUAAAGGCUUACCAAGGCGAUGAUGCAUAGCCGAGUUGAGAGACUGAUCGGCCACAUUGGGACUGAGACACGGCCCAAACUCCUACGGGAGGCAGCAGUAGGGAAUCUUCCACAAUGGACGCAAGUCUGAUGGAGCAACGCCGCGUGAGUGAAGAAGGUUUUCGGAUCGUAAAGCUCUGUUGUUGGUGAAGAAGGAUAGAGGUAGUAACUGGCCUUUAUUUGACGGUAAUCAACCAGAAAGUCACGGCUAACUACGUGCCAGCAGCCGCGGUAAUACGUAGGUGGCAAGCGUUGUCCGGAUUUAUUGGGCGUAAAGCGAGCGCAGGCGGAAGAAUAAGUCUGAUGUGAAAGCCCUCGGCUUAACCGAGGAACUGCAUCGGAAACUGUUUUUCUUGAGUGCAGAAGAGGAGAGUGGAACUCCAUGUGUAGCGGUGGAAUGCGUAGAUAUAUGGAAGAACACCAGUGGC